rnacentral:tRNA from 1 species
GGGCGUAUAGCUCAGUUGGCUAGAGCGUACGGAUCACACCCGUAAGGUCGCAGGUUCGAGUCCUGCUACGCCCA